UCACAAAUCAAUUAUUAUUAUUCAAAAAUCAUGAAAUUUCGAAAUUAAAACAUCAUUAUUCAUUAUAAAAUUGUAACAAUCUCAAUGUCAAGAUUUCAAAACACAAAUCAAAACUAAUUAAAAAGAAAGGAUCCUACCUCUUUUCGAUUAUCCCUUCCUUGAUAUCAUCUCCCCAGAAAGUCAUCUCCUCAAUCAUUCUAUUGUUAGGCCUAGUAGAGAAUGAGGGAUGAAUAGUCCCUUUAUAUAGGAGAAGAUGAGAUCUCCCCGAAAGGUAAGUAAUAAUUUAAUUUUUAUUUUUAAUUUAUUUUACAUUUGCUUUCACACACAAAAAAGUAAUAUAAUAUUUAUUUCUUAUAGUUCAAACACAAAAAUGGAAUGUAAACUAUUUACUUCCUAAAUAUCAAAUCACUCAUUAGGAAAUAAAUCAAUUAAUAAUUUAAUUGAUUAGUAGAAUUCCUAACUUAUCCAUAUGAUUAAGGAAACCAAAUCUAAUCAUUUCCUUAACUAUAAUAUACAAAUAUAGAAGUUAAUAAUAAAGUAAUAUAUCAUUUAUAGUAAUUAAUUUAUGUUAAGGAAAAAAAUUAUCGAUGAUUACAU
rnacentral:lncRNA from 1 species